rnacentral:rRNA from 1 species
UACAGAGGUCUCAAGCGUUGUUCGGAUUCAUUGGGCGUAAAGGGUGCGUAGGUGGCGCCAUAAGUCAGGUGUGAAAUCUCGGGGCUCAACCCCGAAACUGCACUUGAUACUGUGGUGCUCGAGUACUGGAGAGGAGAUUGGAAUUUACGGUGUAGCAGUGAAAUGCGUAGAUAUCGUAAGGAAGACCAGUGGCGAAGGCGAGUCUCUGGACAGCAACUGACGCUGAGGCACGAAGGCCAGGGGAGCAAACGGG